rnacentral:sRNA from 1 species
GCCAGGCACAGAGGUACUUGCCUGUAGUCCCAGCUACUCUGGAAGCUGAGGCAGCAGGAUUAUUUGAGCCCAGGUUUUGUGGCCAGCCUGGUCAACUAUAGUGAGAUCCCAUCUCAA